CAUGGCAGCCUCAAUUUCCCGUCAAUCAACUCUCCCGGCAGCGGCAACAGCUGUGCCAGUCAGAACCGCUGAGACAUGUUCGGCAUCGACUGAAAACUCCCGUCUUCUUAAAGACAUGGCUGAGAGGAACAAUAACGGAGCAGACAGACAUGCAGAACAUCCCCAGAAACUUCUUUACACUGAUCUUAACGACAAUAGCAGUGUGUUUGGAUUUGACCACUGCGAUCGCCUCCUGGAUGCAAUGGAUGCUCAGCUUGAGCAGUUGCAGGUCCUGCCCCAGAAAUGUGAGCUUAAUUGCAGCAAUGCAGCUUCUCUUGGUUGGAGUCAGUCUCUGGGCAAAGAUACAGGCCUGGGAAGUACAAGUGAACAAAAUGGUACCCCCAUGUCUGGUCUAGAUUUGAUGAGCGCCCCAGCAAUGCAGCAAAGAUAUGAAAACACAGAGGGCUGCUCGAAAGAUCCUGUAACUGGUGACAAAACUGAAAAGAGGUUAGACAAGAGGGACAAAGAGGAAAUCGAGUCUUGUAGAGAGCAGGUCAUCUGGAGGCUGGAGAGGCUACUUGGAGGCACCUGCAAGGAAGGAGGGCUGGCCGAAGAAAUUGGCCCUCCUUCAGACAGUAUCUGCACCGAGGACUUUGCUACACGCUUCAGAGAGGAGAUGGUAGAACUGACUUUUAUAGAUGUCAGUAUGCAAAUGUCGGAUAAAGCAGAAGUGACUGGGAGUACAAACAUCUCUGACAGCGGCGCUUACCAAAGUAAACAACAUGAACGACAUGUUUAUGAUGUUGAAAGAAGAGGUUCAGAAAUGACUGGGGAAAGCAGCGAUGACACACUCACUCCUCAGCAUUCCCUGACAAACCAACCACGUCCAAACAAGAAGAGCUGUGUUUCUCAUAGCGCUGGAGCAAGUAUAUCACAUGCUGGUGUGAAAGCAGGAGCUUUAGAGACAUGCAGAUUACCACAGCCUGAGGAUGACAGCAGUGGUACAAGCUUCCACAGGACAGAGUUUUUAAAAGACCCUGAAAAUGUCAACAGCAGCUGUUCUCCUAAGACCAGAUGCUUGGCAGGAGUACCUGUGCUGAGCUUUGACACGGUGUCCAUUGACAGCGACCUUGAUACAGUCUGCACGGAGCAAGUCAGGCAGCACAUUCACAAGUGGCCCGGAUGGCACUCUCUCAUUCGGUCUGUCACAGAAAAUAAUGGCCAGUGUAGCAACCAGACCGACAGAACAACACAAGAAGAAAGUGAAUCUCGGUCUACAUCAGUACAGAGAUCCCCAUAUGGACCUGUUUGUAACUCUCAACGUAACAGGAGAACAGCAUAUAGACCUGUGAGUUAUUUUAGUGACACAGAUGAAGAAAUGAGCUGCUGGAGCAACAAGUCCAGGCCUGAGAGGACACUGGACAAGAUGCAGUCUGAAUGGGUCAAGAUGACUGGCCAACUCUCCGACCUCCGACAAAAAUGUGAGGAAGAGGAGGAGACGCUGUGGUUGAAGAGGGCUCAGAUAAAAGAUGUUGAGGUCUGCCUCUCUGAACUUAGACAGAAAAGGAAGCAUGCCUUGCAGGAGUUAGAGCAACUGACUACAGAGACGGCACAGAUGGAGGAGGAGAAGAGGACUUUGCAGUCUGUUCAGAGAGACAGCAGAGCAGAGAGGAAGUCUGUUGGCCAUGGUAGCCGACAGCUGCAGAAGAUGCUCAGGCAGAAAGAAUCAUGUCUUCUCCAGCACAGAGACACCCAGGAAGAUUUUACAGUUCAGCGUCUGUGUAGACAGACUCCAAAGGAUGGAUCCUGCUUCAAAGCAAACAAUGUCAUAAUGUCGGUGCUGGAGCAGGAAGAAAUGAAAAGACAGCUGGAUAACGCCAAAACAGAACUGUUUGCUGAGCAGCGACGUGCCAGAGAAAAGCUGGAGUCCAUGCAAGAGAAAUUGGAAGAGACUUGUGAAGAGCUCCAAAGGGCCACAGAAGUAGAGACGUCACUGAGAAACAGAUGUGCUUGUUUGGAAGAAAAACAGAUGCAGAAAAAGGGGCAGAUUGAGGCACUGGAGGCUCGAGUGAGUGGGCUGCAGGGUGAGGUGGGAGAGCAUAAGAUCAGGGUGGUAACUCUGGAGAAAAUGUUAGCCCACAAAGAGCUGCAGCUCCUAGAUUUCCAGGAGCAAUGCAGUGCCUUACAAGCAGAACGAGAUGGACUGAAGGUGGAGCAACAGCACUUGAGAAUGCAGCACCACAAAGCCCUGAAGGAAAUUGAAGAGCACGUCCACAGUAUAAUGCUAAAAGAAGAAGAAUUAAUUAAGCUACAGAAAUCUCUGCAACAGCAGAAGGAAGAGGUAAAGAAACAUGAAGAGGAGUUGCAUGUAGAAGCAUCGGAAAAGGUGUACAAAGCAGUGAAGGAGGAGAGGAGGAAGUGGGAGGCAGAAAAAAUGGAAGCUCUGGAGGUGCAGCGUGGGAUACUGGAAGAGCAGAAUGAAAAGCUCCUGGAAAGUUUGAGGAGCGAAAUGCAGAAAGAGAAGAAUAAAGCAUUAGCUCGUCAACAUCAGGUCAUGGAACUAAAAACAAAACUGCAGGAGCUGGAAAAGGAAAACUGUACACAGUUGGCUGCAAUUUGCAAGUCACUGAAAGAGGAGCGCCAGGCUGAGCUACAGAUGGCGCAGAGUCAUAGGACAGUUCUGCAGCUCGAGAAGGAUGUCCAGCUGGCAGUUAAAGAGGCAGACAGGCUCCGGGUGAUGCUAGAAGAAAGGGAGAGCAGCCAUAUCCAAAUCACAGCUGAGAUGGAGCAGCAACACCAACACUGGACCGAGCAGCUAGCAGCAGAGUGCCAGCAUCUCAGCCUGUUAGUGGAGCAAAGUGGAGCCAAACAAAGUGCUGGAAAACUACCUCCCAGUUUCACAGAAGCCGAGGCUUUUACGAACCUAAAAACACUACGAGAGCAGCUGAAGGCUUUUAUUAGCCAACUGCACCAAGAGCUAGACUCACAGAAACAAACCAACGAGCAGCUGAGAAAAGAAAAGGAGCAAGAACUGAGCAUCCAGAGGCAACAGCUGAGGCUGGAGAGAGAUCAAGCUUUGAAUUUUUUAAAGGAGCGACUCAUUCAGGAACACAUUGAGGAGUUGAGCAGCUUAAAAUGGGUUCACAUGAGUGAUGGAGGAGUUCAAGGCGGAGGAGGAGUGGCAGUAUGUCUCCGCAAGCAGUUGAAGGCCAAAGACUCUGAACUCAGGCAGGUUCAGAGGAGCAUGGCUGAGUGGAAGGGACAGACCGCAGCUCGCCUGGCAUGCAAGUUUGAAGAAGAGUUGACGGCUGAACUGGAACGGAAGGCACCAAGACCACAAGAUGUUAGGCGGAGGGAGCCUGAAAGACCUGAGGAAGAAAUGGAAUACCAGAAAUCUCUCAGCUCUUCCUCCCUCCAAGCUCUGAACUCCCAUCACAGCUCCUCAGACAUGGCUUCCUUUAAGCUUAUACGUUACCUCCAGAGCAAAGUGAAGCAGCUCCGUGCUGAAAAUCAGGCCUACGGGUGGAGCUCACCUCCUCCCGAUUUAUCAGGAUCCUAUCUUGGAACAAUCCCUCAGAGUACAGACACAGAUGGGAGUUAAAGCAACACAAAACCUUACACUGUGUGAGCAACUGCACACCAGUGAUAGAAUGCUCUUCAAAUCAGUCUUAUUUAAAGUUGUCCCAUGGCAACAAAUAUAAAUCAUUCACUGUUCUAAGAUAGCAGGACAAGCAGGUCACAGUGACAUAUGGAACAACUGGAGAUGUGGUCAUCACAUUCCUCUGUGCUAAGGCAGUAAGGUUUUUAUAGCUUGCAGUGAGCUGUAAACGACAGGAGCUGACAUUUCUCUGAAGACUGACGAUCAUAGUUGUGGGCCACAGAGAAACUGUACAGAGGAGAGUGUGUGUCUGCUGGUGGACUUGAGGUGUUGAGGGGACUAGGAGAUGGACAUGGAGUUGGAGUCUGCCGACACACAGUCUGUUGUUUGCGCUGUUUUUGUAAUGAGUCCUUAAGUCUCUGACUGAAGGGAUCUUCUGGUGGCCGCCAUAGCACCAGCUCCAUACAGGAACGGCUCCUAAAGUGUGAGAAAGACAAAGGUGACACAAAUAUUAGCAUCCCUAAAGGAGUGCAACUGCACUGACUUCUUAAUCAAGAAACUCUUGCCAGUUGAAAACAAUAUUUGGAGUCCGUCUCACAUCAUUACCCAUAUUUUUUUGUUUUUCCUUAUGUUGUAAAUUUCCCUGUACAGUCUAUUAUUUCUUGCUUUUUAUAUUCUUAACUUGUGUGAAUCUGCAUGCUCCAUCUGCCUGUCGCUUUGCUGCUAGAACACCUGAAUUUCCCCAAUGAGGGACAAUAAAGGAUAUAUCCAUUUCUAUUUAUUACUUAAAAAUCACCAUUAAAUGUUCCAAUAACAAAAUAAACAUACACAGACUGGGCUACUGUGUGGGGGAGGAUGUCACUGAUGCCCUGCUGCAAGCCCUUCUUCAAACUGUCAGACAUCACCAGCACCGGGCGUCUCGGAGCUGGCUCUACAUCCAGAUCUUCAUCCUCAUCGUCCUCCAGUGUUAUUCUGUGAUACAUCAAUAGUACAUUGUGGGUUGUCACUCUUUCUUGUGAUGUAACCCCCAAACUCUUCACCAACACUGAAUGCCAGAUUUAAGAAAAAACCCACUUUGAAUGAUAUAAAUUGAAA